UACAGAGGGGGCAAGCGUUGUUCGGAAUUACUGGGCGUAAAGGGCGCGUAGGCGGCCUGUUAAGUCGAACGUGAAAUCCCCGGGCUCAACCCGGGAACUGCGUCCGAUACUGGCAGGCUUGAAUUCGGGAGAGGAAAGUGGAAUUCCUGGUGUAGCGGUGAAAUGCGUAGAUAUCAGGAGGAACACCGGUGGUGUAGACGGCUUCUGGACCGUAACUGACGCUGAGACACGAAAGCGUGGGUAGCAAACAGG
rnacentral:rRNA from 1 species